rnacentral:rRNA from 1 species
AACGCGAAGAACCUUACCAACCUUUGACAUGUCCAGUAUGGGUCUAGGAGACUAGACUCUUCAGUUCGGCUGGCUGGAACACAGGUGCUGCAUGGCUGUCGUCAGCUCGUGUCGUGAGAUGUUGGGUUAAGUCCCGCAACGAGCGCAACCCUCAUCUUUAGUUGCCACCAUUCAGUUGGGCACUCUAAAGAAACCGCCGGUGUUAAACCGGAGGAAGGUGGGGAUGACGUCAAGUCCUCAUGGCCUUUAUAUCCAGGGCCACACACGUGCUACAAUGGCCAGUACAAAGGGUCGCUAACCCGCAAGGGGGAGCUAAUCCCAGAAAGCUGGUCUCAGUUCGGAUUGAAGUCUGCAACUCGACUUCAUGAAGCUGGAAUCGCUAGUAAUCGCGGAUCAGAACGCCGCGGUGAAUACGUUCCCGGGCCUUGUACACACCGCAUAC